rnacentral:lncRNA from 1 species
ACGAUUAAUUUUUCCAUAAUAACUUAAUCAAUUGUGAGUCAUAGUCACAUUUUUUAGAUCACAUGUUACAAAUUAACCAAUUAUUAGUCAUAAUCAACUAAAUAAUUGGUCACGAGCAUCCAAACCUAUCUCAUCUCACUCAAGACAUCGUCUCGACCACCAUAACCACCAUUACCAUCCCGCUACCUAAAAAAUAUGGAAGCUGCCACCACCACUACGUCAACAACCAAAACCAAUGUCUCACUGCCAUCAACCAGCUAUACCACCAUCGCACUACUGCCACAAACACCUCCACCGCACCACUGUCAACGCAACAGAAAAUUUGAAACAAAAAUAUGAACUACACACCACUAUCACCAUUGCCGCACUACUACCACCACCAUUGCACCAUACACCACCACCAUAGCAACCAUAGCCAC